AAUAACGACAGCAUUGCCAGUUAGUCUUAAAAUCAUCAUGUGCCUACUUGGAACACUUUUGCACCAAAUGUCUUUCAGUUUGUUAUUCUUUGAUGUUAGCAGCACAUUGGUUCAAUCCCAUUACUAUAGAGAAAUCAAGGUUGGCCGAGGCUGAUCAUUCAAUGGGCUCAUCAAGGACAUGGGUAAGUACUCAAUGACCUAGGGAAAAACAAAUUCAUUUUUUGUGUUGGCUACCCGAAAAUAAUUCUCUCAGAAGUGAAGCUCUUUGCUCGAUGCAAUGCAUUGGACCGACUGCCCAGGAUUCAAAUGAGACAAUCAAACAUGCUACUUGCUCGAGUCCAAUCAGACCCUACCCAUCGCACCAGAAUCGAACGGAACCACCAUUUUCAUCCGACAUGAAUUCAUUCGACAAGAGGAAAGCGUUUUGGUUUACAAUCACAAAAAUCUGGUAUGAAUUCAUUCCAAGCUCCUCCCCGUUAUACGGGUUCCCUUGGCAUUCCCCGAUCCACCUAUGGGCCCUAGAAGAAUCUUAAUGGACUUUCCAUGGGGAUUUCAUUUGUGCUCUGUACACGAAGGAUCUUGCUAUCGUUGGUAUUUUGGCACGGAUGAUUGGAUUCCAAUGCCCUCGCUCAAUGUUCCCCAUUUCGGAGUUCUUGACUUGAUUCAAAUCAAUCAGACAUGGUGGACCUUGGGCGGAUUUUGGCAAGGUCAAUUGCCUAAUGGGACUGCUUCUCUGCAUCGAAUAAGCGAGUAUAUGGACGAAGCGGGACGUUGGCACAUCGGACCUAAGUAUCUGAAUCGGCAUUAUGAAGGAUUGGCUGCCAUCUCAGAUACUUCAUUGUUAGCAGUAGGAGGAGCUCGCCUUCCACAAAAGUUGAACACCUCAAAGCAUGUGGUCACCGAAUUCGAUGUUUCAACAGGAACUACCACCCAUAGGUUCCAAGUUCCAUGUAAAAUGUUUGCAUAACCUGUAGCCCCUUUGAAUCACAGAACGGCACCAAAAUGGUCCUUUGUUUGGGCGGAAAUGUGCCCCAAAGCCCAGCCCGCAUUACAAGCAUCGGUCUUUAUUUACAAUAUAGAAACGGGGCACUGGAUGGAAAUGCCAGAGUGGGAAUUCCCAGAGAGAGUCCGCUUUUCGAAUCUAAUUUGGUUCCAGGGCACUUUAUUUGUGUUUGGCGGUCGUUAUCACCAAAGCGAUUGAAACACCAUCUACAAAUUCGAUCAGACCAAAUGUCCGGCUUGGACGGUCAUCGGCACACUGCCUGAUGAUGAAGGCGACUAUGUUAAUGUUAGAACAGUUUCUCGCUCGAUUGUGGUUCUCUGAUUAUUUGUGUUUGUAUUCACAAGUACCUAUACAACCGGAGUCGUUUGAAACUGAAAAAUGCUUUGCACUAGAUACUAUGGAUAUCAGCGGCAAUA